rnacentral:rRNA from 1 species
GACGAACCGUGCAAACGUUAUUCGGAAUCACUGGGCAUAAAGGGCGCGUAGGCGGCUUUCGAAGUCAGGGGUGAAAUCCGGCAGCUCAACUGUCGCAGUGCCUUUGAUACUGGAGAGCUCGAGGGAGGUAGGGGUCUGUGGAACUUCCGGUGGAGCGGUGAAAUGCGUUGAUAUCGGAAGGAACGCCGGUGGCGAAAGCGACGGACUGGAUCUCUUCUGACGCUGAGGCGCGAAAGCCAGGGGAGCAAACGGG